AGUGAACGCUGGCGGUAGGCCUAACACAUGCAAGUCGAACGGCAGCACAGUAAGAGCUUGCUCUUACGGGUGGCGAGUGGCGGACGGGUGAGGAAUACAUCGGAAUCUACUUUUUCGUGGGGGAUAACGUAGGGAAACUUACGCUAAUACCGCAUACGACCUACGGGUGAAAGCAGGGGAUCUUCGGACCUUGCGCGAUUGAAUGAGCCGAUGUCGGAUUAGCUAGUUGGCGAGGUAACGGCCCACCAAGGCGACGAUCCGUAGCUGAUCUGAGAGGGUGAUGGGCCAAACUGGAAAUGAGACACGGUACAGACGCCUACGGGAGGCAGCAGUAGGGAAUGUUCCGCAAUGGGCGAAAGGAUGAAGGAGUAAAGACGCGUGAGUGAUGAAGGUCUUCGGAUCGUAAAACUCUGUUAUUAGGGAAGAACAAAUGUGUAAGUAACGAUGCACGUCUUGACGGUACCUAAUUAGAAAGCUACGGCUAACUACGUG
rnacentral:rRNA from 1 species